rnacentral:rRNA from 1 species
GAUGAACGCUGGCGGCGUGCUUAACACAUGCAAGUCGAACGGAAAGGCCGAAGCUUGCUUCGGUACUCGAGUGGCGAACGGGUGAGUAACACGUGGGUGAUCUGCCCUGUACUUCGGGAUAAGCUUGGGAAACUGGGUCUAAUACCGGAUAUGACGAUCUCUUGGAUGGGGUUGUGGAAAGCUUUUGCGGUAUGGGAUGAGCUCGCGGCCUAUCAGCUUGUUGGUGGGGUAAUGGCCUACUAAGGCGUCGACGGGUAGCCGGCCUGAGAGGGUGUACGGCCACAUUGGGACUGAGAUACGGCCCAGACUCCUACGGGAGGCAGCAGUGGGGAAUAUUGCACAAUGGGCGCAAGCCUGAUGCAGCGACGCCGCGUGGGGGAUGACGGCCUUCGGGUUGUAAACUCCUUUCGCAAUCGACGAAGCCUUUUGGUGACGGUAGGUUGAGAAGAAGCACCGGCUAACUACGUG